AGUGAACGCUGGCGGCAGGCCUAACACAUGCAAGUCGAACGGCAGCACAGUAAGAGCUUGCUCUUACGGGUGGCGAGUGGCGGACGGGUGAGGAAUACAUCGGAAUCUACUUUUUCGUGGGGGAUAACGUAGGGAAACUUACGAUAAUACCGCAUACGACCUACGGGUGAAAGCAGGGGAUCUUCGGACCUUGCGCGAUUGAAUGAGCCGAUGUCGGAUUAGCUAGUUGGCGGGGUAAAGGCCCACCAAGGCGACGAUCCGUAGCUGGUCUGAGAGGAUGAUCAGCCACACUGGAACUGAGACACGGUCCAGACUCCUACGGGAGGCAGCAGUGGGGAAUAUUGGACAAUGGGCGCAAGCCUGAUCCAGCCAUACCGCGUGGGUGAAGAAGGCCUUCGGGUUGUAAAGCCCUUUUGUUGGGAAAGAAAAGCAGCAGGUUAAUACCCCGCUGUUCUGACGGUACCCAAAGAAUAAGCACCGGCUAACUUCGUG
rnacentral:rRNA from 1 species